GCUUUGAAGUGUGGACGCCAGUCUGCAUGGAGCCGACCUUGAAAUACCACCCUUUAAUGUUUGAUGUUCUAACGUGGACCCGUAAUCCGGGUUGCGGACAGUGUCUGGUGGGUAGUUUGACUGGGGCGGUCUCCUCCUAAAGAGUAACGGAGGAGCACGAAGGUUGGCUAAUCCUGGUCGGACAUCAGGAGGUUAGUGCAAUGGCAUAAGCCAGCUUGACUGCGAGCGUGACGGCGCGAGCAGGUGCGAAAGCAGGUCAUAGUGAUCCGGUGGUUCUGAAUGGAAGGGCCAUCGCUCAACGGAUAAAAGGUACUCCGGGGAUAACAGGCUGAUACCGCCCAAGAGUUCAUAUCGACGGCGGUGUUUGGCACCUCGAUGUCGGCUCAUCACAUCCUGGGGCUGAAGUAGGUCCCAAGGGUAUGGCUGUUCGCCAUUUAAAGUGGUACGCGAGCUGGGUUUAGAACGUCGUGAGACAGUUCGGUCCCUAUCUGCCGUGGGCGCUGGAGAACUGAGGGGGGCUGCUCCUAGUACGAGAGGACCGGAGUGGACGCAUCACUGGUGUUCGGGUUGUCAUGCCAAUGGCACUGCCCGGUAGCUAAAUGCGGAAGAGAUAAGUGCUGAAAGCAUCUAAGCACGAAACUUGCCCCGA
rnacentral:rRNA from 3 species